GUUUAAUACCAGCAGCAUUAACAGGAUGUAAAGUAACCAGGUGGUUUAAUACCAGCAGCAUUAACAGGAUGUAAAGCAACCAGGUGGUUUAAUACCAGCAGCAUUAACAGGAUGUAAAGCAACCAGGUGGUUUAAUACCAGCAGCAUUAACAGGAUGUAAAGCAACCAGGUGGUUUAAUACCAGCAGCAUUAACAGGAUGUAAAGCAACCAGGUUUAAUACCAGGAGCAUUAACAGGAUGUAAAGCAACCAGGUGGUUUAAUACCAGCAGCAUUAACAGGAUGUAAAGUAACCAGGUGGUUUAAUACCAGCAGCAUUAACAGGAUGUAAAGCAACCAGGUGGUUUAAUACCAGCAGCAUUAACAGGAUGUAAAGUAACCAGGUGGUUUAAUACCAGCAGCAUUAACAGGAUGUAAAGUAACCAGGUGGUAUAAUACCAGCAGCAUUAACAGGAUGUAAAGCAACCAGGUGGUUUAAUACCAGCAGCAUUAACAGGAUGUAAAGCAACCAGGUGGUUUAAUACCAGCAGCAUUAACAGGAUGUAAAGUAACCAGGUGGUUUAAUACCAGCAGCAUUAACAGGAUGUAAAGCAACCAGGUGGUUUAAUACCAGCAGCAUUAACAGGAUGUAAAGCAACCAGGUGGUUUAAUACCAGCAGCAUUAACAGGAUGUAAAGCAACCAG
rnacentral:lncRNA from 1 species